rnacentral:rRNA from 1 species
AACCUACGGGGGGCAGCAGUGAGGAAUAUUGGUCAAUGGCCGCAGGGCUGGACCAGCCAAGUCGCGUGAGGGAUGACGGUCCUAUGGAUUGUAAACCUCUUUUGUCAGGGAGCAAAGGGCGCCACGUGUGGCGUUUUGCGAGUACCUGAAGAAAAAGCAUCGGCUAACUCCGUGCCAGCAGCCGCGGUAAUACGUAGGGAGCAAGCGUUAUCCGGAUUUACUGGGUGUAAAGGGCGUGUAGGCGGGCUUGUAAGUCAGAAGUGAAAUCUGGGGGCUUAACCCCCAAACUGCUUUUGAAACUGCGG